rnacentral:rRNA from 1 species
ACACGACUACAUUAGAUACCCCGGUAGUCCCAGCCGUAAACUAUGCUCGCUAGGUGUCAGGCAUGGCGCGACCGUGUCUGGUGCCGCAGGGAAGCCGUGAAGCGAGCCACCUGGGAAGUACGGCCGCAAGGCUGAAACUUAAAGGAAUUGGCGGGGGAGCACAACAACGGGUGGAGCCUGCGGUUUAAUUGGACUCAACGCCGGACAACUCACCGGGGACGACAGCAAUAUGUAGGCCAGGCUGAAGACCUUGCCUGAAUCGCUG